UUUUAAUAGGGGCUGAUUUGGUUUUGACAUUUAAAAAUUAAGUAAAGUAUGAUGCAGGUCGAAGCCGUUAUUCUUCGUAAAAACAUACAAUUUUAUAAUAAAUGCUAACAACAUAAUUCCUUUUAACUUCAAACAAGUAAAUAAGAAUUUUACUAAUUCUUUAGUUUUUGCGGUUUAAUACAUAAUCAAUUUUGUUAAAUUUCUUGGUUCACUAUAUCUAGACUUUUCGUUUUUUUAUAGUUUAGAAUAUUAUUAUAUAUCGUUCAUUUUUUGAACUAAGCCUGUGAAUGAGUACUUUAAUAAAAUUUAAAUGGACGUGGGUUCGAUUCCCAUCAGCUCCA
rnacentral:tmRNA from 1 species